rnacentral:rRNA from 1 species
CGGGGGGGGCAAGCGUUGUUCGGAAUUACUGGGCGUAAAGGGCUCGUAGGUGGCCAACUAAGUCCGACGUGAAAUCCCUAGGCUCAACCUAGGAACUGCGUCGGAUACUGGAUGGCUUGAAUUCGGGAGAGGGAUGCAGAAUUCCAGGUGUAGCGGUGAAAUGCGUAGAUAUCUGGAGGAAUACCGGUGGCGAAGGCGGCAUCCUGGACCGACAUUGACGCUGAGGAGCGAAAGCUAGGGGAGCAAACGGGAUUAGAUACCCCGGUAGUCCUAGCCCUAAACGAUGAAUGCUUGGUGUGACGGGUAUCGAUCCCUGUCGUGCCGAAGCUAACGCAUUAAGCAUUCCGCCUGGGGAGUACGGUCGCAAGGCUG